CCCCUAGAUGUUCUGGGCCGCACGCGCGCUACACUGAACAGUUCAACAAGUCUUAACCUUGGCCGAUAGGUCUGGGUAAUCUUUGAACGCUGUUCGUGAUUGGGAUAGACCUUUGCAAUUAUGGGUCUUCAACGAGGAAUUCCUAGUAAACGCAAGUCAUCAGCUUGCAUUGAUUACGUCCCUGCCCUUUGUACACACCGCCCGUCGCACCUACCGAUUGAAUGGUCCGGUGAAAUCUCGGGACGGCGCCUUGGUCGCUUGCGUCCGACUGCUGAAACUUGAUUAAACCAUAUCAUUUAGAGGAAGGUGAAGUCGUAACA
rnacentral:rRNA from 1 species